UACAUUAUAGUAUAAAUAAUAUAUUUAUCAAUAGUAAGAAUCUUAAUUAUUGAAAAUAAGUAUAGCAAUAGAAAUAAUCAUAUUAAUAAGUAUAUUUUAU
rnacentral:rRNA from 1 species